rnacentral:rRNA from 1 species
UAUACGACUCUCGGCAACGGAUAUCUCGGCUCUCGCAUCGAUGAAGAACGUAGCGAAAUGUGAUACUUGGUGUGAAUUGCAGAAUCCCGUGAACCAUCGAGUCUUUGAACGCAAGUUGCGCCCGAGGCCUUUCGGUUGAGGGCACGCCUGCCUGGGCGUCACGC